rnacentral:lncRNA from 1 species
GUGUGUCGCGGCAGUGCAGCGGCCGCGAAGGGGUGUUUUGCUGUAUGUCAUAUUCCUCGUUUCGCCAGAGCGGGGGUCCCGAGCUUCGGGCGCGGGACGCGGGGGUGCUCCGAGGCUGCGAGUGGAGGCGUGACGUGACGUCCCUGGCAAGAGGCGCGCGGAGUCAGGCCUUACUUAGAACGUGUUCCCGCCGCACAGCUACCAGCGGGCGCGACCGCUACCCACGCAUGGUGCGGUCGAGUAAACGGCACCGCCUGGCGAGCGAGAGACGCAAAGGGACAUAGCCCCCUAGGAGCUGAGCUCUUCGGGGGUAAAGCGUUCUCACGUUGAUGAGACCAGGAGGCGGCGCACGCCUGGCUCCGCGGCCCAGGGGUUGCAGGUGCCCCAGGGUUCGCGGGGCGCAGACGCCGCAGAGGGCGACGCCCUGCCCGGGUCCCGCGCGGACCCGGGGGACGCAGGGUCUGACACGGAGUGCGGAGGGGCCCCAGACACGCAGUCCAUGUCCCUUGAAACCAGAGGCACGCGCGGCCACGCGCUAGGCCUUUCCCUUAAGCCUGUGACCAAGAUCUCCGGGACUCCCAGCGUUGGGACGGGCGCGCUGGCCCACGCCCAAGCGGGAGGAUCGCUUGCGCCCAGGAGAUUGAGACCAGCCUGAGCACCAAAGCGAGACCUCGUCUCUACAAAAAAUAAGACUCAAGAAGACACCCAGGGUGAAUCGCCCGUCUGCAGCCAGCCUCCCGAGCACCGUGGCCGCGUCUGACAACUGACCUCUGUGUCUGGGUGUCCCUGUCCUCAGAGGGACACGGGACCUCAGAAAGGACCACAGCCCGGCGGCAGGCAUGAUGGUGGGAAAGCUAGUUAGGACAGGUGAGGCACUAAAUUUAGCCUGUCAUAAUUUGUAUCAGGGAAAUGAUGAACUUGUAUUUUUACACACCAUGGGCACCAACACAAGAUAUGGUUUCGUAAGCAGCUUUGGCAAGAACCAAAGGAACGGAACCUCUGCUUCCAAGUGUACGGUCAGGAGCAGCGUGUUAAUUAAAAUACACAAAAGAAUUUCUCAAAAAACAGUAAACGAACAGCAACCCGAUAGAAAAACGAGGAAAGAAUAUGAAUAAGCAGCUCCAGAAGAGGAAAUUCAGGUGGCCGGUAAACACAUGAAAAAGAUGCUCAUCUUCACUGGUCACCAGGAAAAUGUCCCAAACCUGCAAGCAACCCAAGUACUCAUCAGCAGGUGAAUAAACAAACUGGCACAUCCACACUGCGGAACACGGCUCAACCCCCAGGAGGACCCGGCGCGGAGCCCGGCUCAACCCUGAAGAGGAUUUCACUACUGACACACACGACAUCACAGGUGACUCUGGGAGCAAUCAGGUUCAGUGAGAGAAGCCGGACAAAAAAGAGUGCGUACCUUAUGACUCCACUUACAUAAAAUCCUAGAAAAUACAAACACCAGGCAGGCGCGGUGGCUCACCGCUGUAAUCCCCGCACUUCGGGAGGCCGAGGCAGGCACA